rnacentral:sRNA from 3 species
ACAUCAAACUCAGAUGUUGAGCGUGAAGGAUAACGUUGCGUCAGCAACGGCCCGAAGGGCGAGGCGAAGCCGAGUCAUCCUGCACAACCCACCA